GGUGUAACAGACUUUGAUGGGAGUUGUUCCCAAAUUCUCUAUUUGUUUUGUGUUGCUUUUGAUGUAUUUUGUAUGUUAAGGAAUGCUUAAGGAUUUUUAAGGUUUAAUUUUUUUCCGUUGUUUGCGGGGGGCUUUCAUUUUGAAAUGGAAUCUGCUUUCACGGCUAAGAAAUAGUAAUGAGAAAAAUGGUAUGGAGAGCAAACGCUUUACAACAGCUUAACAGAACUCAUGCACGAAAGGACUGUUUAUAAUUUUAUUCAGCACCCCCCGAAAAGGCAUAAGGUUUGUGUAUUUGUAUACUGUUACUUAAAAACAAGUAUUUUGUUUUAAAAUCGCCGAAUAUGUCUAUUAAUGUUAAUGUACAUUUUUGUGUCGCUUCAUUCAGCUCUUACGGUGAUUUCUUAAGUAAAAAACGAACGCUAAUAAAGCUUCAAGAAACAUCAGUAAAGUUUUGGCCAUCAUUCGGACGGGGUCCGCUACAUAUGGCAAAUAUGAUAUAAUGGGCAUAGUCCUUGAAAAUGCAAGUGCAAAAAGCAUUAACCACAAUGAUGGUGGAAAAGCCAUGCCUGGGUGGUUAACAUGCCUUAUGAUGGAGGGGGGAGCAUGCACACAGCAUCUGCAAGCAGCUAACUCUAUCUGGAAUCGGGAUGUGGUUUGGGAUGGAUGAAUAUUUAUCACCUUCAUGCAUUCAUGGGAUUUUGGGAAGCAGUUAAGAGAUCUGAGUGUUAUUAAACUAUAGCUGUUUAUGUCAUUUGACAUGAAUUUUUUUUUGCUAUAUUUAAGAAAAAUAUUAUUAAACAAUUACAUGAUUGUUAUUCUUAAUAUUAUAGUUAUAUUAUUAUUAUAAAAUAACAUCUGUUAGAUAUAUGAAAAUAUGAGGAGUAUGAAUAGAGAGAGACUUUUAAAAAAUACUUUUAAAAAAUGUUAAUUGAAUAAUGCUGUUAAAUUUAAGACUGUUAAACAGUUACAGUAUAUACAUUGUUGUUGGUGUAUAGAUAUUUGUGUAUUAUUGAUAAUUAUAUCAUUGUUGUUGACCUGCUUAUUUUUUGCUGUUAGUCUGAAACUAAAAAAGUAAACUAUA